CACAGAACAGGCUGAAGCACCUUGCAUGGGCAGCCAGGCCUGUACCCCACAGAAGGCUGAGCCUGCGGCCUCUGUCCCAGAAAGAUCGUCUGUAGUAAACAGGUAUGAAGCAGGCAGUCUGCAGUCCUAGCAAGUAAUUCAGACAUGCAUCGGUCAUGCCACCUGCCUGCGUGGAACUUGCAGUCUGGCUGGAGAUGAAACACCAGUGUCCACAGAAGACCAAGGUCACAGCUGGGAGAUGUACAGGUUCUGGAGUGAUGUCCCCAGGGAAGUGCUGCUGACUGGAGCAAAGGAUAGUCACCAGAACAAUUGGCUGAAGAUGUGAACUGUCAGCUUCCUGCUCCUGCUGCCUAGCCUGUCACUUCCUGCUGUGCCUUCUCACCGUGAUGGAGUCGUACCUCUCUGGAACUGUAAGCUCAGAUAAGCUCUUCCUUUUAUUGGUUGCCAUGGUCAUUGUGAAAAUUGAAGAUGAGACAGGUAAGUCGUCUGCUUAGCCUGACAACAGUAAUAUUCACUAAUAUUGUUCACAAUUGUGUUUUAUCACAGCAACAGAAAAGUAACUAAUACACGAUGAGUGAGUGUAUCAGUGUGUGUGUGUGUGUGUGUGAAGGACAUGUCCACACAACUAACCAAAGACCAGCUGGAUGCAGAACUAACCUGUGUGUGCACUUCAGCAUCAGUCUCCCCGUCUGUCUUACAUACUAGUUCACAGGCAUCUCCUUGAACACUGUUGAGCAGAACAGAGGAAAUGCUUUCCCUAUGAUCAUUCCAGAACAUUCUCUUGUACCUAUUGGGACUUCUGACUAUAAAAAGGUCACUGCAGCUGGGCAUGGUGGCACAGGCAUCUAAUCCCAGGAGACAAAGAGAUGGCUAGGCCCCACCAAGGAAGCAUGGUGCUGGGAGAAUCAAGAGGUAGAACAAAGAGGUACUGGAAAGGCUGAGGAGGAAAGUUGCUGUUAGAAGCAAGCCCAGCUGUCGGUGACUUCACUUUUGAAAGGACACAGCAAGAGCAUGGAGCCUGACUCCCAAAGGAGACCCACUUUUAACUGUGUCAGAUGUAAUCAAGCUGGCGAAGCUCUCAGUCAGCUGUCAGAAAGGAAGGCUGACUGACAGGAGGGCAGUCACCACAGAGGAUGAGGACCCUGGGAGAAGAGAUCCAUGGGAAAGUGCCACCAAGACCCCACCUUGGGAGCCUCAAGACUCAGGGGAGCCAGCUCAGGAUUGUGAAAGCCAUCUUGGUAUAGGUGUAUACCACAUAUAGGACCUUCCAUUUACCCAGAGAGCUGCUGGCAUUGCUCCUAGCCGAGCUAGGUCCAAUAAUGCCGGGCUAAAGGACUCCUGAGAUGCUGUAAGAACAUUAAAAAUCUAAGUUACACCCCUGUGUAACACUGCCUGCCUGUAAUCCUGGCAUCAGGAAGGCAGAAGAAUAGAAAGUUUAAGGCCAAUUGAAGCCAUAUACUGAGACUCCCCUGUCUGAAGAUAAAAAGUUUUGAGUCUCACUUUUCAUGAAAAAAAAAAAAAAAAGACUUCUAUUUAAAAUUUAUUUCCUCUGUUUUUUGUUUUUUUUUUUUUUUGGGGGGGGGGAGUGUAAUGGAAGGUUUGGUUUCUUUAAAAACUCAAUGUUAUGUACGUAUGUUUUUGUUUUAGUCCCAAGUGUGGGAUUUUAGUUUGGGCUUUAGUUUGUCCACAGCUGACGGUUGUCUGGUGCGGGGCGUGGCCUUUGCCAGGUCAUUGCCGGCCUAGUGUGGCACGGAGAGGGCUGUGGCCUAGGUCUCUGAGGACAUAAAUAUGAGAUCCCAGAGAGAGAGAAAGUAUGGCAUGGCAUGUGGUGAGAGGGGCAGUGUGAAGAGACCAGAGACCGGACGGAAAGGUUUCAGCGCAGCGGCUUGAAGGAGACUGCUUGCUGAGUCUGCUGUUGAUGAAGGUUGGUCUAAGCCCAAAAGAAGCCGCUGACCCUAAACAGCAGCAGAAGUAAAAGGGUCUGCGCCCCUCCCCCCACUAACGUCUCUCCCACCUAGGGUUGGUGGCUGGAAGGGAGAGGCUUUCAGGAACCCCAAUGAAACAGUUCUAAAAUGAGUGCGACAGGGUGGAAAUGAGUGGGUAGAACAAUCUUCUGAUGACAGCACCUCAGAGCUGGGACACUUUGCUUGUGUGAGAUUCCCCGCAGAGGCCUCCUGUAAGUUCACCCCGGGUACCCAGCAUCAUCUUUGGGUCACCAAGGCUGCAGGAGAGCAAAGGACUCCUGGAGAGGUUGGACAACUACAGUUUCAGUUUGCAUCCUUGUCAAGAUUUAAUAAACGUGUCUUUAUCAAGAGUCACAGGUUUCAUAAGCCACUCUCCCCUCCACGCUCAGAAUAGUCUAUGUCUAAUUCAUAUACCUGGUUUCCCGGCUGGCUUCUGCUCCAGAUCCUUGAUUCUUAAGGGCUCUGUGGUAGUGCACCCUUUUUGCUUUUUUCUUCCUUUUCUUUUUGACAUGAGGUCUCAUAGCCUAGGAUAUCCUUGAACUUUCCAUGUACUCAAGCUUAGCCUUGAACUCUUGAUGCUCUCGUCUCAUCUUAGAAGUGCUGGGUUUACAGUAUGUGUCAUCAUGCCCAGCUUUUCUUUUUCUCAAUGUUUUAUGUGCUUGAGUGUUUGCCUGUAUGCAUGUCUGUACAUUAUAUGGACAUCUUAUGCCCAUGGGGGCUAGAAGAGGGUGUGGGACACCCCCCCCCCUGGAACCGGGGUUAUAGAUGGUUGUCAUCUUCUACAUGUAGAAUAAUCAUUCCUUUUUGAAUAUAUAAAAAUGUCUGGGAUUUGCUAUUUAGUCUAGAAAGUAAAGUGUGGUCAGAAAACACACUCCAUGUAAUUUCAACGUUUUAAAUUUGUUUGAACUUGCUCUAGGGCUCACUCAACUAGGUCAUUUCCGUACUGGUCUGUGUAUAUGUGCAAACAGCAGUCCUGUGGUGCACUGUGUUUACACUCAUCAACUGGGCCAAUUUUGUUAAUCAGCUUAGCAAGAUUUGGCUUCCUUCCUAAUUGGUCUUAUCAAGUUGAGAAAAGAAUACCAAAAUCUUCCAAAUAGGAUUGUGAAAUUCAAAUGUUUCUCCUUCUAGUCCUUUGGAAGAAUAAAAUUGGGAGAAGCGGAAUGAGUAUGAAAAAAAUUAACAACAAUAACAACACGCCAAUACAACCAAUCUAAAAUGAGAGGAAAGGAGGAAACAAAAACCAAACCCAGUCAGCCAACCCCAAACUCUAAAGUGGGACAAGGCAAAAAGUAUCAACGGUGUGUUCAACUGUAAAUGUAACCAAUGGCACCUAAUGAGGCCUCUCAGCAGAGACACUGUCAAGAUGGAUUAUUUACAGGAGCCACAUGUGAAAUCCAGAGACCGGCCAGCCCAGACAAGUCACAGCACCAGUGGCAGAUGCUCCUCCGGUGGAACAGUAGCUCCAAGGGUGUUGUAGGAAGUCACUGAUGGUCCCUGUGGCUACCUCCUCCAGCC